GAGGCUUUUAAUCUGGUACCACGGGUAACCAGGAGCCCACGGAACCUUGUUCCGUCUGGUUAGUGGUGCGGCCCUUCGGGGAGUAUCGUGGUGGUUGUGGUUUAACACCCAAAUGCGGGUAGAGCAUCGCUCGACGUGGAGUUGCGUCAUACAACCGGGUUCCGUGACCCAGAUUACGGAAGAGGCUUAGAUAGUCCUCGUGCCAAACCAAGGUAGAAGUCACAACCAAACAGUCGUGUCUUUAAUUGGUACCUGCGGAAUUGUUCCAAGGGGGCGGUGAUUGACGCUUGAAUUAAUCCUAUACUAGGAACCGUGAGAUUAAGCCAUCGCGGCAGGUGCUCACGUUAAGCCCACUGACUUUCAUGUCCCUAUCUACUAUCUAGCGAAACCACAGCCAAGGGAACGGGCUUGGAAUAAUUAGCGGGGAAAGAAGACCCUUUUGAGCUUGACUCUAAUCUGGCAGUGUAAGGAGACAUAAGAGGUGUAGAAUAAGUGGGAGAUAUUAGACUUCGGUUUGGUAUCGACAAUGAAAUACCACUACUCUUAUUGUUUCCUUACUUACUUGAUUAAAUGGAACGUGUAUCAUUUCCUAGCCAUUAUACGGAUAUAAUUAUUAUGUCUUAUGGUAUUGGGUUUUGAUGCAAGCUUCUUGAUCAAAGUAUCACGAGUUUGUUAUAUAAUCGCAAACAAAUUCUUUAAUGAGAGAAUGCAUUUAUGUAUUAUUGAUUUAAAAAUUUGGUAUAACUCCAAUUACUCAGGUAUGAUCCAAUUCAAGGACAUUGCCAGGUAGGGAGUUUGACUGGGGCGGUACAUCUCUCAAAUAAUAACGGAGGUGUCCCAAGGCCAGCUCAGUGCGGACAGAAACCACACAUAGAGCAAAAGGGCAAAUGCUGACUUGAUCUCGGUGUUCAGUACACACAGGGACAGCAAAAGCUCGGCCUAUCGAUCCUUUUGGUUUAAAGAG
rnacentral:ncRNA from 1 species